AGGGCUUCUCUCCAUUGGCAGG
rnacentral:miRNA from 1 species